CUCUACACCCCGUGCCCAAUCCUCAGCUUCUGAGACUGCGCAGGGAACAGAAAGACUUUUACCUCCUCUUCCACGAAGCUUUCCCAGACACCUGUAAAGCGAGAGGACCAGGCCAACUAAGCCCGACAUCUUCUGGAAACGGCAGAGGUGGGACUUGAACCCAGGUCUCAGAUUCCAGAGCUCACUCAGUCACUAUGGUCUACUGCCUUUUCAUCAUGUAAAAGGCUGUCCUCCUUCCAUCUUGGUGAAUGAACAGACUGAUGAUUCAAGAGCACGCUGCAGGCACAGGCCAAAGGCCACAAGGUCAAGG